GAUGAACGCUGGCGGCGUGCCUAAUACAUGCAAGUCGAGCGAAUGGAUUAAGAGCUUGCGCUUAUGAAGUUAGCGGCGGACGGGUGAGUAACACGUGGGUAACCUGCCCAUAAGACUGGGAUAACUCCGGGAAACCGGGGCUAAUACCGGAUAACAUUUUGAACCGCAUGGUUCGAAAUUGAAAGGCGGCUUCGGCUGUCACUUAUGGAUGGACCCGCGUCGCAUUAGCUAGUUGGUGAGGUAACGGCUCACCAAGGCAACGAUGCGUAGCCGACCUGAGAGGGUGAUCGGCCACACUGGGACUGAGACACGGCCCAGACUCCCACGGGAGGCGGCAGUAGGGAAUCUUCCGCAAUGGACGAAAGUCUGACGGAGCAACGCCGCGUGAGUGAUGAAGGCUUUCGGGUCGUAAAACUCUGUUGUUAGGGAAGAACAAGUGCUAGUUGAAUAAGCUGGCACCUUGACGGUACCUAACCAGAAAGCCACGGCUAACUACGUGCCAGCCGCCGCAGUAA
rnacentral:rRNA from 1 species